rnacentral:rRNA from 1 species
CGAACGCUGGCGGCGUGGAUUAGGCAUGCAAGUCGAACGGAGUUCCUAGCUGUUUCGGGAACUUAGUGGCGAAAGGGUGAGUAACACGUGGGUAACCUGCCCUAGGGUUUGGGAUAACCCGUCGAAAGACGGGCUAAUACCGAAUACGUUCCAUCAUUGAUUAUGAUGGAGGAAAGAUGGGGAUCUCUUCGGAGACCUGUCUCCCUUGGAUGGGCCCGCGGCCUAUCAGCUUGUUGGUGAGGUAAAAGCUCACCAAGGCUAAGACGGGUAGCUGGUCUGAGAGGAUGGUCAGCCACACUGGGACUGAGACACUGCCCAGACACCUACGGGUGGCUGCAGUCGAGAAUCUUUCGCAAUGGGGGAAACCCUGACGAAGCGACGCCGCGUGCAGGAUGAAGGCCCUCGGGUUGUAAACUGCUGUCAGCUGGGAAGAAACAGUGCGAAGGUAAUACUUUCGUGCUCUGACGGUACCAGCAGAGGAAGCCACGGCUAACUCU